rnacentral:tRNA from 1 species
GCCUGGAUGGCUCAGUGGCUAAGCGCCUGCCUUUGGCUCAGGAUGUGACCCCAGAGUCUCAGGAUCGAGUCCUGCAUCAGGCU